AUUGAACGCUGGCGGCAGGCCUAACACAUGCAAGUCGAGCGACUGGCGGCCGGGUGAGUAAUGUCUGGGAAACUGCCCGCUGGAGGGGGAUAACUACUGGAAACGGUAGCUACUACCGCAUACCAUCGGAUGUGCCCAGCUGGGAUUAGCUAGUCGGUGGGGUAACGGCUCACCUAGGCGACGAUCCCUAGCUGGUCUGAGAGGAUGACCAGCCACACUGGAACUGAGACACGGUCCAGACUCCUACGGUAGGCAGCAGUGGGGAAUAUUGCACAAUGGGCGCAAGCCUGAUGAAGCCAUGCCGCGUGUAUGAAGAAGGCAUUCGGGUUGUAAAGUACUUUCAGCGAUGAGGCGUUACUCGAAGAAGAAGCAACGGCUAACUACGUGCCAGCAGCCGCGGUAAUUC
rnacentral:rRNA from 1 species